GACGAACGCUGGCGGCGUGCCUAAUACAUGCAAGUAGACCGCAGUUGCGAACGGGUGAGUAACUCGUAGGUAACUGCCUCAUAGCGGGGGAGACCUAUUGGAAACGCUAUUUAAUCCCUCAUAAUGUAAGAUGGACCUGCUUUGUAUUAGCUCGUUUGUGAUGUAAAGGUUCACCAAGGAGACGAUACAUAGCCGACAUGAGAGGGUGAGCGGCAACAAGGGUAAUGAGACAAGGCCUAGACUCAUACGGUAGGCAGCAGUAGGGAAGCUUCGGCAAUGGAAGUAAGUCGGACCGAGCAACGCAGCGUGAGUGAAGAAGUUUUGCGGAUAGUAAAGCUUUGUUGUUAGAGAAGAGGUAAAUAACCAGAAAGGGACUGCUAACUACGUGCCAGCAGCCGCGGUAAUAC
rnacentral:rRNA from 1 species